GGCUGGGUUGCAACGGACUUAAAAUCUGUUAUUCGUCACUGAUUUGUGAUGUUCAGUUA
rnacentral:tRNA from 1 species